rnacentral:rRNA from 1 species
UACGUAGGGGGCUAGCGUUGUCCGGAAUCAUUGGGCGUAAAGAGCGUGUAGGCGGCCCGGCAAGUCCGCUGUGAAAGUCGGGGGCUCAACCCUCGAAUGCCGGUGGAUACUGUCGGGCUAGAGUGCGGAAGAGGCGAGUGGAAUUCCUGGUGUAGCGGUGAAAUGCGCAGAUAUCAGGAGGAACACCGAUUGCGAAGGCAGCUCGCUGGGACGUAACUGACGCUGAGACGCGAAAGCGUGGGGAGCAAACAGG